CUGCGGAGGAUCAUUAUCGAGAGGGGGGCCCUGCGCCCCAGGGGCUUGCCCCGCACCUUUACACCCUUUGUGUAUCUUCCACCGUUGCUUUGGCGGACCCCGGGGUUUACCCCCCCGGCGCCGGCCCUGUAAUAGGGGCUGGCGAGCGCCCGUCAGACGCCCAUCAAAAUCUUUUUAUGUUAGUGUAGUCUGAGAUUAUGAAUAAUCAAUCAAAACUUUCAACAACGGAUCUCUUGGUUCUGGCAUCGAUGAAGAACGCAGCGAAAUGCGAUAAGUAAUGUGAAUUGCAGAAUUCAGUGAAUCAUCGAAUCUUUGAACGCACAUUGCGCCCUUUGGUAUUCCGAAGGGCAUGCCUGUUCGAGCGUCAUUACACCCCUCAAGCUUUGCUUGGUAUUGGGCGUUCGCUCCCCGGCUUCGGGGGGCGCCCCCGAAAUUCAGUGGCGGUCCAGGUAGACUUCAAGCGCAGUAAACUUUUGUUCGCUUUGGAAGCCUUCUGCCUGCGGCCCGCCAGCGAAACCAUUUUACCCCCAAAUCAUUGACCUCGGAUCAGGUAGGGAUACCCGCUGAACUUAAGCAUAUCAUA
rnacentral:rRNA from 1 species